AAGCAAGCCUGCACCCUCCAAGCUGCACUACUACAACUGGGAGACAAGCCUCAACCAGAAGUCCCUGAAGAAAUUCUACAAAAGGUUGGUGAUUAAUCAAAGCUGGAGUUAUUUUACAGCGAUAGCACUGUGCAUGUGCAAGACAGAAACCUGUGUCUCCAGGAUGACCUUGGAACCAAGAAUCUUCAGUCUACAGAACUCAAAGAAUAGAAAUCUUGCCACCAGAGCCCUUUACAAAUGCUGAUACCCCUGAAACAUCUUAUACCAAACUCCAUCUCAACAUCUGCUUCCAAAGAACCCAACCUUAGAGGUUAUUUAAUCUGAACUCUAUCUAUUU